ensembl:lncRNA
UUGAGAACUGAGUAAAGAAUCUACAAACAAGUGGAAUAGAAUAGAAAUGUGCUGUUGAACAAGAUAGAUCCAUCAGACAGCUGAUGGUGGCACUGCCUUUGGAGAUGCCUGCUUUCUUCGUAAAGCUCUCCUGGAAGAGAUGCAGAAACAGUUACAGGCUCCUGCCUUGACUGUGUGCAGACAGGCUGCUUCCUGUCCCAACCGGCAGCUCUUCCAAGCUGGUUCUGUUGCAAAGCAGUCACCAGGAUUGCCCCCUUCUUUGCUCUGCUCGCUUCUAAAGGAAUUUAUUUGUUCAUCGGUUUUGACUCAGUGGCAGAAAUUGAGCUGUAUCUCCUCUGCCCUGAAAUCAUCAAAGUAUAUGGCAGCUAAAGUUGACGGGAGCACGUUUAACAAAGCAUUGUUGAGGGGAAGAGUGCCAGGAACAUAUUGUAUGUUUCCAAACAGAGCUAAUGCUGCUCCUAACGCAGUAAAAGAAAAGAGGAUUGCUCCUCGAGUUUGGUGAUUGUGCAGACUAUUUAUGUUUGUUUGUACUGUGACAGAACUUUGAAUGCAUCAGACUUGAGAUGGCCCAGCUGGAAAAUUUGGCUCAGUGGGUGGAUCAGAGCAGGGAACUGUAGAAGCAUGGAAAAAACCCAACAAAAACGGAGUACCGAAAGAAAGAGAAAAGGAGAGUUUGAAGAAGCAGAGCUUCAGAUGUUAUUGUAGGAACUGCAUUAAAGAAAAUCUCUGCUUGAAGAAAGGAAGUACCUUGCAGAUCUCUAAGCUUUGGGGAGCUGUCUGUACAGUUCUCAUAAGCUGUUUGAAGUUUUGAACGUAGCACAACCUUUGUCUUUUUUGCUUCUUUUCAUAAACCUGUGUUCAUGUAAGUUUUUUUUAUAUAAAUUAAGCAUCUUUACAUAGUAAUAAGACUUUUACUAAGUUAACUGCUUAAAACUUAGGAGAUGGUGGAAUUAGGGUUGUCAGUGCAAAGUUAAUUUGAACCCCUUUGCAAGUGCUUUUCACUGUUACCUUCAGUGACUCUUUCCCCACAGGAUCCUUGCCUCAUUCAAUGAUGAGAGCUGGGGGUAGCGCGAGUGUUCUGGGAGGAACCAGGCUGCUGGGAAGUGAUGUGGUUGUCUGUAGGGUACAAGAUAUCAGAGAAGCGUGGGUUAGUAAAAUAAGGGUUUGUAUAAGGGCACGUGGGGUCUUUGUGACUACGGGCUAUUUGGGAUUCUUGGCCUGAGCAUCAUCUGUGGGAUUUCAGUGUGCGGAGGAUGAGGAGAGCUGAGGAGCUUUGCAGAGAGGAGAGGGUAGAAGCAGUCCAGUGCUACACACUGUGAAAGCAGCAGGGACAGAAUGCUUUAACAGCUGGGAAGGAGGGCAGGGAGUAGGUGCUUACCCUGGACAUGCUUCUGUCACCUCCAGCUGUGCUGGCUUUAGUUUAUUUUGGAGCAAAAUCCAGUAAUAUAAUGGCAGAUUUCCAAUCCUCUUAUGGAACAGACCAUGUGCCCUGAAAGGACCUCAACAGUUUUUGCUAUUAAAACACUUUAAGAGAUGUGCUUCUGUAUGUGGCUGUGUUUUCUCUUAACUCUGCCAUGCAGAGGAUGUUUUGUUGGAACUGCUGUCUUCUUAUUUUUCACAUCCUGCUGGCUCAGAUUUAAAAACAAAGUAAAUCUCUAGUGAAUGUAAUACAGCCAUUUGAUUAACGAAUAUAAAAACAUGCGCAGUUUCAAAAUACCUUAAUGAAUGAAACCAGGCAGCUGAAUUUGAGUCUGAGUAACGUGUAUGGAAUAUUCUGAGAUGUGUAUCACCUCAUUAGUCAGAUUGAGCGAAGGUCACUGAAGAUACCUCCACUGGGGGGGGGAUAACUGAUCAAGUUGAAAUUUAAGUUACUUUAGCUAUGUUUUUAGCUACUGCUGCUUUUUUUCUCCAAACCUGGGUGUGUAUGGCAGCUUGGGCC